CUACGGGGUGCAGCAGUGGGGAAUAUUGGACAAUGGGGGAAACCCUGAUCCAGCAAUGCCGCGUGUGUGAAGAAGGCCUGCGGGUUGUAAAGCACUUUCGGUUGGGAGGACUGCUUCUAGCACUAAUAUUGUUGGAAGUUGACGUUACCUUCAGAAGAAGCACCGGCUAACUCCGUGCCAGCAGCCGCGGUAAUACGGAGGGUGCAAGCAGUUAAUCGGAAAUACUGGGCGUAAAGCGCGCGUAGGCGGCUAGAUCAGUCGGGUGUGAAAGCCCCGGGCUUAACCUGGGAACUGCAUCCGAUACUGGCUAGCUUGAGUACAGGAGAGGAGAGUGGAAUUCCACAUGUAGCGGUGAAAUGCGUAGAUAUGUGGAGGAACACCAAUGGCGAAGGCAGCUCUCUGGCCUGAUACUGACGCUGAGGUGCGAAAGCGUGGGGAGCAAACAGGAUUAGAUACCCCGGUAGUC
rnacentral:rRNA from 1 species